UGAUUGGAGCUGUCUGUUGUCCACUGAGGGUUAGCAUCUGAAGACUGUCUUGUUUCUUAGAUGUUGCUUAUGAAUGAUGCUGCUACUGGUUAGUUAUCCCUGCACUUUCUCAAGUAACAUCCCCAUUUCAAUUGAGAAUGAAGAGGUUCUUGGAUAAAGAACUUGUAAAAAUCAGGAUGAGAAGAAUAUCGAUGGAUGAUAACAUUUUCAAG